rnacentral:misc_RNA from 1 species
UUCUCGACUCUUCGUGCUAUUGGGUGAUCGGUCAGUCGGUUGGUCGAGUCAGUUCGCGUUUGUUGUUUCUCGUACGAGGUCCGGUGGGGUAUUGUCGCGAGCUCAUACUCUAUUUACGUUUCUCGUCGAGAGAUUUGCAUUGCCGGGAUGCCGAAAAGGAAGAGUCAAGCAUUGAUAGACUCCGAUAGCAGCGGGAGUGCGUCAGAAAGCGGUUCAGACUUGGACAAUGACCUAUUGUCAUUGGCAAAGAAAAAGAAACGAAAGUCUCAAGAUGAUUCUCAGUCGAAUGAAGAUAACGGAGCCAUUAAAAAAGACGUUAAACACGAUACAGACACGUCAGAUUCCGACGACAAUUGGAAUAGCAAGACUGGAAAAACCAAGAAAAAGAAAGUGCCAAAAAAGAGCAAGCGGAAGAUGACAAAAUCUAGUACAGAAGAUAGUGCUAGUGAGAAAGAACCAGCCAAGGAACUUUCAGAGCCAGAAGAAGGUGAAGUGUCAGAUUCGGAUGCGAGUGUUUCCGAUUCUAGCCAAGAAGAAUUCAACGAUGGUUACGACGACAAACUCAUGGGUGACGCAGAAGAUCAAGCUAGACUCGCUCAAAUGACCGAGAAGGAACGGGAGCAAGAAAUUUUUAAACGAAUCGAGCAACGUGAGAUCAUGAAAACAAGAUUCGAAAUUGAAAAGAAAUUACGAAUGGCUAAGAAACAGGAAUUGAAAAAGCAAAAGGAAUCGAAGAAGAAGGAGAAGGGUAUUGAGGAGAGACAAAAAGUAGACAGGGCACCGGACCCUAAGGAAAGAAGUAAGGAUCGUAAGAAAACGAUAGAAGAGAAGCAGGAUAAGAAGUUCCAUGCAAUGUCGCUGCUUAAAGCGAGACGCGAAGAGAAGAAGGAACGAGAGGAAAAAGAGAAACAGAGGAUAGAGCAGCAACAGCAACAGCUGAAGGAUAUAGAGGAAGAAGAGCUGGAAGAUGAUCAUAAGGGUGGCGGAAAUAAGACGAAACUUAAAGCAUCAGAUAUAUAUUCCGAUGACAGUGGUUCAUCGGAUAGUGCGGAAGAGGAAGAGGAAGUAGCGAAACCAUCGUCUCAACGUAGAUCAUCCUCCAGCGAAAGUCGCGACUCGGAUUCUGAUAAUGAUAAAAAAUCGGUUACUAGUGCCAAGGCUAGACCGAAGAAGCCGGUAUACAUUAGUACUAAGGAAGAUCUAAACAAGAUUCGAUUAUCUCGUUACAAGAUGGAGAGAUUCGUCCAUUUACCUUUCUUCGACAGGGUAGUGCAGGGCUGCUUCGUCAGAAUUGGGAUCGGCAAUAAUAACGGUAAACCUGUCUAUAGAGUAGCCGAGAUAAGCGGCGUGUGCGAGACGGGGAAGAUUUAUCAGCUCGGCGGCACGAGAACGAACAAGGGAUUGAAGUUGCGCCACGGUGCGCAGGAACGCGUGUUUAGGCUGGAGUUCGUCUCGAACCAGGAGUUCACGGACUCGGAAUUCUUCAAGUGGAAAGAAACGUGCGCGUUGCAAGGGAUAUCGACGCCUACGUUUGACGAGGUGGAACAAAAACUGAAGGAUAUUAAGGAGGCGUUGGUAUACGAGUUCAAGGAGGAGGAUAUAGAGAAGAUAGUCCGCGAGAAGGAGAGAUUCAAACAAACGCCGUACAAUUAUGCAAUGAAGAAGGCUCAAUUGAUGAGGGAACGCGACGCAGCUAACUGCAGGGGAGAUGACGAGACUGCUAGUCGUCUUAACCAGGAAUUAAGCGAGUUGGAGGAGCGCGCGUCGGAACUGGACAAGAUGCGUACAGCAACCAUCUCCAGUAUAUCGUACAUAAACGAUCGCAACAGAAAGAGAAACGUGGAGCAGGCUGAGAAAGCUAUAAUGGAAGAAAUAAAGGCUAAUAAGGGCAAGAAAGUCGACGAUCCAUUCACCAGGCGAAGUACUAAACCGAGGAUGGUGUACAAGCCGGAAGAUGAAUCUGAGACAAUAACCGCAACUCCAGUAAGCGACAAGUCGAAUGCCCAUCCGGCUGGGGAUUCGAUGUCGACUGCUAACGAUAAAGAGAACGGACAGGAAUCUAAGAAGAAGCAGAGCACGGAAGACCUGUUCGAUGCACAUGAUUUCGAUAUAACCAUUGAUCUGGAAGUUCCUAUUCCAAACAACCCUGUCAGUGUCUUACCGAAACCUAUCAACAAUAUCAAGGACACGGGACCUCGUCGAUCAUUAAAUCUAGAAGAUUAUAAAAAGAAGCGUGGCCUCAUCUAACAGUCGACACGUUCUCGACGUUGUAAAGACACGACAAGUUAUCGAAGCAACUAUCUUGUAGCAAUUAAAGGUAUCGCCUCGCUUCGCCAAACGCGAUUGGCGAAUGAGGAGCUGAUGGUAUUUCGGUAAAGAGCAUUGCUAGCUACUACGUCCAUUCAUCGUGACACUCAGCAUAUUAUACAUCUUAAAUCUUUCCAAUUAGGACGAAGCGACUUUUUGUCAUGCUCCAGACACUGCGCUACAUGAAACGUAUAACUGGGUUCUCCCAUGAAAAUGACACAAUUGGAACAUGUUCUUUAAUAGCUACAUAAUUAAAGGCUAAGGCGUAUUAUUUGAUAUCAAGAGAAAUAUAGUGCUCUUUAUCUUCCAACGUUGUAGCGCUCUUGUGUUUCAUAUCUAAGAAUAAGAAAGAAGAUAUGAAAAAAUAUAUGCAAAGGAAGGAAGAUACACUUGCAUUUAACGAUGGAAAAACUAUUAGCCAUGUGAGUAAACUCUACGCUACUUACGGAAAUAUUUGUUCAAGAAUAUAGAAAUUAAUUACAACGCAACGUAAUUACAAUACGCGAUACAUAUGUGAGCGCGUCGUAUAUUGUGUACAUGAUAGAAUAAAAAAAUCUUGCUAAAAAGUCAUUUUGUCAUAAAACAGAAUGCAUAUAAUUAACGUAGAUAAUAAUUAAUUAUAUUAAUAUCAAGUAAUCAUUAUUACUCUUAAUUAAAUCUCUCUCGCGCACAUAUAUUUCUACUGUAAUUAAUGCAUUUUGAAGUAUGAUAUAUUGCCGUUUUAAUAUUUGUCGCAAUUUAGUGCCAACAUAAUUUCUAUGAAAAAAACAUUGUAUAUAAAUCAUGCAUCUAUUUCGAAUUUGUUAUAAUUUUUAUUCUUCGGGAAGGGACUUGGGGAUAUUGAUACAAUCGAAAAAAAGUACCGUUAAUAAUAUAUAGAUUUUUUUCUUAUUUAAAUUGAGAAAUUAGCCGAGCUAAUUAGAAACUAGCUUAAGCCAUCAGAUUGAUGGCACCUUAUUAUUAAUCAAUUAAUUAAUUAGUUUUUUAUGAAUUUAACAUUGUUGAAUGUAUUGUAAUUUUGCAAUGAAGAUACAUCGGUUGCGUACAAAAUAGCAUACAUUUAUUAUCAUGGCAUAUAAGAACACAUAAUAUAUAUGCAAAACGGAAAUUGUAUUCUAUUUUAUUAUAUCGUAACAUGAUAUUUUUUCGUAUACGUAUUUAUAUAUUUGUCGAAAUUGUAUAUACAUAUAUUUAGACAUGUGCUAUGUUUAAACAUAGAUAAGCUUGGAGAACUUUUUUUUUAUCAUUUUCAAGUUCUAUUUUUCUGACUGAGAAAACAUCUUUGAAAAAGUUAUAUUGUACUUGUGUAAGCAGCAUUGGCAUUGCUUACCUCGUGAUUAUAAAAAGCAAUCUAUAUCUGUAUAAUAUAUUCUUUGUAUGGUAUAUUCACGAAGAAGUUAGAGAGAGCCAAGCGCUAAAAUGAUAGCAUAAUGUUUAUAAUACUCGGAAGAGUGACAAGUAAUAGAUAGAAUUAAAAAAUAGGUCAAGUUCUUAUACACUUUUUAUUAUUUUGAAGUAGUAUAUAAGUUACGUGCAAAAGUUAGAUUUAUCAAUAUAGCGCGUAUAACAGCUUUGUUUUUUUCUUUUUUGUUUGUUAUUGAUGUGAUGCGUAAUUUUUUAAUUAUUCUUACGAUGUCUAAAAUGAGUUUUACAAUUAUGCGUUAUCACAAAACACGUACGUUUUAUCAGAAAAAUAUCUAUGUGCACGGUUCUAGCAUUAAUUAUAUCAUUUAUUGUAAAUUAUGAAGAAAUUUGUCUAUGAGAUAAUGAUUUUGUCUAUUAUUCUAGGGUAUACGUAAUGGUGUCUGUUGCUCUUAAAUGUACAAAGAUACGAUCACUGUAAACUGUAUAAUUACUAUUAUUAUCAGUAUUAAGAAAAUAUAUGCGAGUACUCAAAAACCUA